GGGGAAUUUUGCGCAAUGGGGGAAACCCUGACGCAGCGACGCCGCGUGAGCGAUGAAGGUUUUCGGAUCGUAAAGCUCUGUCACAGGGGACGAUAGUGACGGUACCCUGGGAGGAAGCCCCGGCUAACUACGUGCCAGCAGCCGCGGUAACACGUAGGGGGCAAGCGUUGUCCGGAAUUACUGGGCGUAAAGAGCGCGUAGGUGGUUUAGUAAGUCAGGUGUGAAAGGCCAGGGCUCAACCCUGGGACUGCACUUGAAACUGCUUGACUUGAGGGCAGGAGAGGUAAGUGGAAUUCCCAGUGUAGCGGUGAAAUGCGUAGAUAUUGGGAGGAACACCAGUGGCGAAAGCGACUUACUGGCCUGGCCCUGACACUGAGGCGCGAAAGCGUGGGGAGCGAAC
rnacentral:rRNA from 1 species